rnacentral:rRNA from 1 species
AACUUUCAACAACGGAUCUCUUGGUUCUGGCAUCGAUGAAGAACGCAGCGAAAUGCGAUAAGUAAUGCGAAUUGCAGAAUUCCCGUGAGUCAUCGAAUCUUUGAACGCACAUUGCGCCCCUUUGGUAUUCCAAAGGGCAAUGCCUGUCCGAGCGUCAUUAU